rfam:Triticum aestivum genome assembly, contig: Triticum_aestivum_CS42_TGACv1_scaffold_129480_2BL
AAAGUACUCCCUCCAUCCCAAAAUUCUUGUCUUAGAUUUGUCUAGAUACGGAUGUGUCUAAUACAAAAAUGAUACAUCCGUAUCUAGACAAAUCUAAGACAAGAAAUUCGGGACAGAGGGAGUAGUUG